UGGGAAGUGUAGGUGGCCAGGCACAGGGA
rnacentral:piRNA from 1 species